AUCCAGCUGACGAUUCCCAAAUAGGACGACAAGCGUGUCCUGGAU
rnacentral:hammerhead_ribozyme from 1 species